UACAUGGGGUGCAAACGUUGCUCGGAAUUAUUGGGCGUAAAGCGCACGUAGGCGGUUUGUUAAGUCGGAUGUGAAAUCCCUCGGCUCAACUGAGGAAGUGCAUCCGAAACUGGCGAGCUAGAGUACGAAAGAGGAUCGCGGAAUUCCCGGUGUAGAGGUGAAAUUCGUAGAUAUCGGGAGGAACACCGGUGGCGAAGGCGGCGAUCUGGGUCGAUACUGACGCUGAGGUGCGAAAGCGUGGGGAGCAAACAGG
rnacentral:rRNA from 1 species